GGCAGUUCUCGGGUGAUGCACCCUGGAAUCAGGCUCCCUCCUCUCUGGUUCCGGGUGCAUCACCUGAGAACCACA
rfam:Myotis brandtii contig190709, whole genome shotgun sequence.